UGAGUCCACUUAGGGAGACUCAGGGUCGUAGUCUCAGACAUUAUGGAGGUCAGGAAGGAAAGCCGGGGAGAGGGAUCCUUCCAAUGGGAACCCAGCCUCCCCUUCCCCAGGCUUGGCCACAGGCGCCCCUUUGUCUGGUCUGGGGUGGCCAUUCUUGGCUUCAUCUGGAGCAUUGCCAGGGGCUGUCGUGUUGGUUGUGGGACAGGGCUCUGUCCUGUUCCAAGGCACCUGCUCUCCGGGACGGGUGCCCCCAGGCUGUGUGGACUCCUGGAGUUACUUAGGACUUCUGCUUGCACUCGGACUUCCAGGCCACAGUGGUCUGGCUUCUGAAGGGUCAGGCUGGAAUGCGGGGUCUGUGGGAGGCCAGCAGAGGGUUCCAUGAGAAGAGCCAGGACAGGGGCAUAGACAGUCAGCUUCCAUGUGAUACCUGGGUCUCUGGGUGGCUGCGAGCAAUGCGAGCUGGGCGCCUAGGGUUUUUGUGGGGUGAGGAUGCACAUUCUGCCAUUGUGAUUACUACGGUAUGGAUAUCUGGGGCCAAGGGACCGAGGUCACCGUCUCCUCAGGGACUGCGUCCGCCCCAGCCCUCUACCCCCUCGUCUCCUGUGAGAAUGGCCCGUUGGAUACAAGCACAGUGUCCGUUGGCUGCCUGGCGCGGGACUUCCUGCCCGACUCCAUCACUUUCUCCUGGAAAUACCAGAACAACUCUGACAUCAGCAGCAUCCAAGGCUUCAGGUCACAGCUGAGAGAGGGCAAGUACAUGGCCACCUCGCAGGUGCUGCUGCCUUCCAGAGACCUCAUGCAGGGCAGGGACGACCACGUGGUGUGCAAAGUCCAGCACCCCAAAGGCAACCAGGAAAAGAAUGUGCCUCUUCCAGUGUUCCAGGAGCUGCCGCCCAGCGUCAGUGUCUUCAUCCCGCCCCGCGACGCCUUCGCCGGCAACCCCCGCACGUCCAAGCUCAUCUGCCAGGCCACGGGCUUCAGCCCCCGGCAGAUCAAGGUGUCCUGGCUGCAGGAUGGGAAAAAGCUGGAGUCUGGCUUCACCACCAGCCAGGUGGAGGCUGAGGCCAAAGAGUCUGGGCCCACGACCUUCAAGGUGACCAGCACACUGACCAUCGCCGAGAAAGACUGGCUCAGCCAGAGCGUGUUCACCUGCCGCGUGGAUCACAGCGGCCUGGCCUUCCAGAAGAACGUGUCCUCCACAUGCAGCAUCAAUCCAGCCACAGGCAUCCGGGUCUUUGCCAUCCCUCCAUCCUUUGCCAGCAUUUUCCUCACCAAGUCCACAAGGUUGACCUGCCUGGUCACAGACCUGGCCACCUAUGACAGCGUGACCAUCUCCUGGACCCGCCAGAACGGCGAAGUUCUGAAGACCCACACCAACAUCUCCGAGAGCCACCCCAAUGCCACCUUCAGUGCCACAGGUGUGGCCAGCAUCUGUGAGGACGACUGGAACUCCGGGGAGAGGUUCACCUGCACCGUGACACACACGGACCUGCCCUCGCCGCUGAAGCAGAGCAUCUCCAGGCCCAAGGGGGCAGCCCUGCACAGGCCCGAAGUCUAUUUGCUGCCACCAGCCCGGGAGCAGCUGAGCCUGCGGGAGUCGGCAACCGUCACCUGCCUGGCAACCGGCUUCUCUCCCGCGGACAUCUUCGUGCAGUGGAUGCAGAGGGGACAGCCUCUGCCCCAGGAGAAGUAUGUGACCAGUGCCCCAGUGCCCGAGCCCCAAGCCCCGGGCCUGUACUUCGCCUACAGCACCCUGACAGUGUCCGAGGAGGACUGGAGCGCAGGGGAGAGCUACACCUGUGUCGUGGGCCACGAGGCCCUGCCCAACAGGGUCACCGAGAGGACCGUGGACAAGUCCACCGAGGGGGAGGUGAGCGCCGACGAGGAGGGCUUUGAGAACCUGUGGGCCACCGCCUCCACCUUCAUCGUCCUCUUCCUCCUGAGCCUCUUCUACAGUACAACCGUCACCCUGUUCAAGGUCAAAUGAUCCCAACUGAAGAACGAAGACCAGAGAGGAACUCAAGGGGCGCUGCUCCAGGCCUGGGGUCCCUGUCCUCAUGGCCCUUGGCGCGUGUUUCUCUUCCCGCCUGGCCUCCAGCUGUGUGCUCCAACACAGGCUUCCUUCUAGACGGGCAGGGGCUGGCUGGCGAGCAGGCCACCACGUUGGCUCUACCCACGCUGCUUUGCUGUGUAUAGGCUUGUUGCCCUGAAAUAAACAUGCACAUUUUAUCCAUGAAA